rnacentral:rRNA from 1 species
GAUGAACGCUGGCGGCGUGCCUAAUACAUGCAAGUCGAACGAGUUCUCCCUAAAUCUUUUGAUGCUUGCAUUAAAAGAUUUAGGAUUCGGAACGAGUGGCGAACUGGUGAGUAACACGUGGGUAACCUGCCCUGAAGUGGGGGAUAACACUUGGAAACAAAUGCUGAUACCGCAUAAUUAGUUGAAACCACAUGGUUUCAACUUGAAAGAUGGCUCUGCUAUCACUUUAGGAUGGACCCCGCGGCGUAUUAGCUAGUUGGUGAGAUAAUAGCCCACCAAGGCGAUGAUACGUAGCCGACCCUGAGAGGGUAAUCGGCCACAUUGGGACUGAGACACGGCCCAGACUCCUAC